rnacentral:ncRNA from 1 species
GCUUCCGAGGAGCGCUGCAAGGCGGUGGGCUGAACAUCAGGCCCCGGCCCUAGGCUCGGAACUUUUAUUCAACGGCGCUCACCGAAC